rnacentral:misc_RNA from 1 species
UUUCCGUAGGUGAACCUGCGGAAGGAUCAUUAAAGAAUCGCCCCGCUUCUUAUAAAUGGGUACUCUUUCCAAACCGUGUAUACAUACCUUUGUUGCUUUGGCAGGCCGCCUCCGGGCGUCGGCUCCGGCUGAUAGUGCCUGCCAGAGGACCCAAACUCUGUGUUUAGUGAUGUCUGAGUACUAUAUAAUGGUUAAAACUUUCAACAACGGAUCUCUUGGUUCUG